rnacentral:misc_RNA from 1 species
GAUGAAGAACGUAGCGAAAUGCGAAAAGUAAUGUGAAUUGCAGAAUUCAGUGAAUCAUCGAAUCUUUGAACGCACAUUGCGCCCGCUGGUACUCCGGCGGGCACGCCUGUCCGAGCGUCAUUUCAACCCUCAAGCCCUCCUUCGGGAUGGGCCUGGUGUUGGGGCUCGGCCGCCAUCUCCGGCGGCCGUCCCCUAAAUACAGUGGCGGUCACGUCGCGACUCCUUUGCGUAGUAGAAACAUCUCGCUCCGGAUAGCAACGCGGUCCACGCCGUAAAACCCCCAAUUUUCAAUGGUUGACCUCGGAUCAGGUGGGAAUACCCGCUGAACUUAAGCAUAUCAAUAAGCGGAGGA